rnacentral:misc_RNA from 1 species
GAUGAAGAACGCAGCGAAAUGCGAUACGUAGUGUGAAUUGCACAAUUCAGUGAAUCAUCGAAUCUUUGAACGCACAUUGCACCUCUCGGUAUUCCGGGAGGUAUGCCUGUUCGAGCGUCAUUUGUACCCUCAAGCUCUGCUUGGUGUUGGGUGUUUGUUCCGCCUCUGUGUGUGAACUCGCCUCAAAACAAUUGGCAGCCGGCGUACUUGUUUCGGAGCGCAGCACAUUUUGCGAUCCAGAUCAACGUACAGCGGCAUCCAAGAAGCCUUAUUUAACGCUCUUGACCUCGGAUCAGGUAGGGAUACCCGCUGAACUUAAGCAUAUCAAUAAGCGGAGGA